AGAGUUUGAUCCUGGCUCAGGACGAACGCUGGCGGCGUGCCUAACACAUGCAAGUCGAACGGGGUAUUUAUUUCGGUAGAUACCUAGUGGCGAACGGGUGAGUAACGCGUGAGCAACCUGACCUUUUGAGGGGGAUAACAACCGGAAACGGUUGCUAAUACCGCAUAAGACCACACUGCCACAUGGCAGAGGGGUCAAAGGAGCAAUCCGCAGAAGGAGGGGCUCGCGUCCCAUUAGAUAGUUGGUGAGGUAANGGCCCACCAAGUCAGCGAUGGGUAGCCGAGCUGAGAGGCUGAUCGGCCACACUGGAACUGAGACACGGUCCAGACUCCUACGGGAGGCAGCAGUGGGGAAUAUUGGGCAAUGGGGGAAAGCCUGAUGCAGCAACGCCGCGUGAGUGAUGAAGGCCUUCGGGUUGUAAAGCUCUGUCUUUGGGGACGAUAAUGACGGUACCCAAGGAGGAAGCCACGGCUAACUACGUGCCAGCAGCCGCGGUAAUACGUAGGUGGCAAGCGUUGUCCGGAUUUACUGGGCGUAAAGGAUGCGUAGGCGGAUAUUUAAGUCAGAUGUGAAAACCCCGAGCUUAACUUGGGGACUGCAUUUGAAACUGGAUAUCUAGAGUGUGGGAGAGGAGAAUGGAAUUCCUAGUGUAGCGGUGAAAUGCGUAGAGAUUAGGAAGAACACCAGUGGCGAAGGCGAUUCUCUGGACCAUAACUGACGCUGAGGCAUGAAAGCGUGGGUAGCAAACAGGAUUAGAUACCCUGGUAGUC
rnacentral:rRNA from 1 species